UUUUGGAACCGACACGACGCGAGCGAACGUAAAACUGAGCUAAACAUUUCUCGUUGCAGACGGACAGGAAGCUUGCAUCGUCUACCCUAGCCAAUCACGCUGCCUCCUUGAUCUACCCAGCAAAAUUCUUGAACCGAGAACACGCCGUCACCCUCUACAGGGAUGUCAAAGUCGUUUCGCAGCUGAGGGGUGCCUGCAAUGCGUUUCAGAGGCAGGCCCGCGCUGCGCAGCCCACGCAAGAGGACCUUGUCAAUGCAAAUAAGUGGUUGCCAUGGGAUGAGGUGAUUCAUUGUGUGGACAUGCAGACAGAAAGAUUUGACAUGGCACGCUCACAGAGUGCCAAGGCUAGGGAGAGCAGGAAUCUGCUGUCGAUCGCGCUUUUCGUAUUGAUACCUCCUUCCAGAGGACAAGAGAUCCGGACACUGCGAAUUGCCCCGUCCGGUGACAGAGAACACGUCCAGGGACUGAAUUCAUUAGUCUUGAAUUCAGAUGGCACCCUCAUGUUCAGAUUCGAGGAUUA